rnacentral:rRNA from 1 species
GUUCUUUGAAGUAUAAGAAAUAGCACCUGCCCGAUGUUCAAUGGCUGCAGUAUUCUGACUGUACAAAGGUAGCAUAAUCAAUAGCCUUUUAAUUGAAGGCUGGAAUGAAAGGUAGUACUAGGCAGGAUGUUUUACAUCUUGAAAUUAGAUAAAGUGUAAAAAUCCACUUAUUAACCCCCAGGACGACAAGACCCUAGGAGCUUUAAGACCCUUUUUAUUGGGGCGAUAGAGGAAGAUAAUAAUCUUUCCAUAGUUACCCUAGGGAUAACAGCGUAAUUUAAGACUAGAGUCCUGAUUUAAUCUUAAGCUUGCGACCUCGAUGUUGAAUUAAAAGAUGAAGGAGUUUCAGUCUGUUCGACUGGUAAUAUUUUACA